GAACGCACAUUGCGCCCUUUGGCAUUCCAUAGGGCAUGCCUGUUCGAGCGUCAUUUCAACCAUCAAGCCCUAGGCUUGUGUUGGGGCCCUGCGGCCGUCCGCAGCCCCCUAAAAACAGUGGCGGGCUCGCUAUAUACCGAGUGCAGUAGUUUACUCUUCGCUCAGGACAUGUAGUGGGUUCUUGCCGUAAAACCCCCCAUUUUUUAAGGUUGACCUCGGAUCAGGUAGGAAUACCCGCUGAACUUAAG
rnacentral:misc_RNA from 1 species